rnacentral:lncRNA from 1 species
CCUUAGGUUCAGGUAUUCUCACUUUGAGACGUUCAGCACCAUGUUGAGCAUCCUCGCCCACAGUACGUCGUAGUACCACUGUCUCGGUCUUCAGAUUUGCAUUUUCUCGACUAAGCCUUGCCAUUUCUGCCUCAAGAAAUGCAAGUUUAGUCACAAGAGACUGAAGUGCUUCCCCUUCCGGACAUUUCCCACCAAUGCUUCCAAUUUUGUUAGCCUUUCCCGCAGUUCAUUAUUACCACCGGCCAUGUUCUCGAACAAGACCACGAAAUCUGCCACUGCACGUCGUGUCUCCACCACGAACACGAUCUGCUCUCGGUCAGCCUUCCGAAACACUUGCCAAUUUUCAGCAAGUUUGAGCUUAGACGAAAUUUAAGCAACAAAACAGAAAUUUAAAGAACACAA